rnacentral:pre_miRNA from 1 species
UUGGUUCGUCCUAAAUCAAACUUGUCUAACUUUAACUAAGUUUAUAGAAAAAUAUAAUAACAACUAUACUACCAAACAUAUACAUUAUCAAAACAUAUUCCAUUGUGGAUUUAAUAAAACAAAUUUGGUAUUGUAGAUGUUGCUAUAUUUUUAUAUAAACUUAGUCAAAAUUUGACAAGUUUGACUUAGGACAAACCAAA